AGCGAACGCUGGCGGCAGGCCUAACACAUGCAAGUCGAACGAAGUCUUCGGACUUAGUGGCGGACGGGUGAGUAACACGUGGGAACGUACCUUUUGGUUCGGAACAACUCAGGGAAACUUGAGCUAAUACCGGAUGAGCCCUUAGGGGGAAAGAUUUAUCGCCGAAGGAGCGGCCCGCGUUAGAUUAGCUAGUUGGUGAGGUAAAGGCUCACCAAGGCUACGAUCUAUAGCUGGUCUGAGAGGAUGAUCAGCCACACGGGGACUGAGACACGGCCCAGACUCCUACGGGAGGCAGCAGUGGGGAAUCUUGCGCAAUGGGCGAAAGCCUGACGCAGCCAUGCCGCGUGAAUGAUGAAGGUCUUAGGAUUGUAAAAUUCUUUUACCAGGGACGAUAAUGACGGUACCUGGAGAAAAAGCCCCGGCUAACUUCGUGCCAGCCGCCGCAGUAAAAC
rnacentral:rRNA from 1 species